rnacentral:rRNA from 1 species
UUCUGGCUCAGGAGUGAACGCUGGCGGCGUGCUUAACACAUGCAAGUCGAGCGAAGCACGGAAAGAUUCUUCGGAUUGAUUCCGUGACUGAGCGGCGGACGGGUGAGUAACGCGUGGGGAACCUGCCCCAUACCGGGGGAUAACAGUUAGAAAUGACUGCUAAUACCGCAUAAGCGCACACUGAGGCAUCUCAGAGUGUGAAAAACUCCGGUGGUGUGGGAUGGACCCGCGUUGGAUUAGCCAGUUGGCGGGGUAACGGCCCACCAAAGCGACCGAUCCCAUAGCCGGCCUGAGAGGGCGACCGGCCACAUUGGGACUGAGACACGGCCCAAACUCCUACGGGAGGCAGCAGUGGGGAAUAUUGCACAAUGGGGGAAACCCUGAUGCAGCGACGCCGCGUGAGUGACGAAGUAUUUCGGUAUGUAAAGCUCUAUCAGCAGGGAAGAAGACGACGGUACCUGACUAAGAAGCCCCGGCUAACUACGUGCCAGCAGCUGC